GACGAACGCUGGCGGCGUGCUUAACACAUGCAAGUCGAACGGAAAGGCCCUGCUUUUGUGGGGUGCUCGAGUGGCAAACGGGUGAGUAACACGUGAGUAACCUGCCCUUGACUUUGGGAUAACUUCAGGAAACUGGGGCUAAUACCGGAUAGGAGCUCCUGCUGCAUGGUGGGGGUUGGAAAGUUUCGGCGGUUGGGGAUGGACUCGCGGCUUAUCAGCUUGUUGGUGGGGUAGUGGCUUACCAAGGCUUUGACGGGUAGCCGGCCUGAGAGGGUGACCGGCCACAUUGGGACUGAGAUACGGCCCAGACUCCUACGGGAGGCAGCAGUGGGGAAUAUUGCACAAUGGGCAGAAGCCUGAUGCAGCAACGCCGCGUGCGGGAUGACGGCCUUCGGGUUGUAAACCGCUUUCGCCUGUGACGAAGCGUGAGUGACGGUAAUGGGUAAAGAAGCACCGGCUAACUACGUG
rnacentral:rRNA from 1 species